rnacentral:rRNA from 1 species
CCUACGGGUGGCAGCAGUAGGGAAUAUUGCACAAUGGGGGAAACCCUGAUGCAGCAACGCCGCGUGAGUGAAGAAGGAUUUCGGUAUGUAAAGCUCUAUCGGCAGGGAAGAUAAUGACGGUACCUGACUAAUAAGCCCCGGCUAACUCCGUGCCAGCAGCCGCGGUAAUACGUAGGGGGCAAGCGUUAUCCGGAUUUACUGGGUGUAAAGGGUGCGUAGGUGGCAGGGCAAGUCAGAUGUGAAAGCCCGGGGCCCAACCCCGGUACUGCAUUUGAAACUGUCAGGCUGGAGUGCAGGAGAGGUAAGCGGAAUUCUUGGUGUAGCGGUGAAAUGCGUAGAGAUCAGGAGGAAUACUAGUGGCGAAGGCGGCUUACUGGAAUGUAACUGACACUGAGGCACGAAAGCGUGGGGAGCAAACAGGAUUAGAUACCCGAGUAGUC